rnacentral:lncRNA from 1 species
CCAUGGGCUGCAGGGACGCAGCUGCCUCACCACAGGCUGCAGGGGAAUCUUGCUCUCGUGCCUACAGCACCUCCAUCCUCUCCUGUACUGAUUUUGGUGUCUACAGAGCUGUUUCUCUUGCUAUCCUCACACUUUUUUUCUGUCUGGAUUUGCCCAGUUCAUUUUUUUCCCCCUCAUCUUAGUUGUUAUCUCAGAUGUUCUAUCACUGUCACUGAUGGGCUCAGCCUUGGCCAGCAGUGGAUCAUCCUGGAGCUAGCUGGCACUGACACCAUCAGACCAGGGGGAAGUUUCUGGCAGCUCCUCAGAGAAGCCACCCCUGUAUCUGCCCCACACUGAAACAUUGCCAUGCAAACCCAGUUCAGUUGCUUGCAGUGAUGAGAGAUGCCAGCAAUAUCUGAAUUUGUCCAAAGGAGUAAAUCAACUUUUCUAUCUUUAUGUGGCAUACAUAAUUUUGCUCAGAGAAUCACAGAAUCAGCUAGAUUGGAAAACUCCUCUUAUUUGUUGAGUCCAACAAAUAAACAGUAUCUUACUGAGAUAUGAACCUAUAUGCUACAGUGUGGCUUUUCAGUGUGGAUUGGUGCAACGGGCAAGAAUUUACACAUUGAAAUAUAGUCUCUUUUAAUAUAACCAGCUAAUUUAAUACAUGACACUUGUUAACAUGACUAAUUUUUUUAUCCCCUGCUUUCUUUUUUGUGGGCUGACUGGUUUUCAGCCAAUUGGAAAGUAGUGAGCAAAACAUGAAGCAAUAGUACUCUUUCACUUGCAAUUUUUAAAUAUUCUUAAGUCAGUUACAUUGCAUUAAACCUUGUUCUACAAUGUCAAGGUAACAAUGUAAGGAUAAAAUGAUCAAGCUUGUAUUUAGACUGAAGUAUUUACUUAAAGUGGAUAGGCAAAAUAAGUGGUUUAGAAUUUUUAUGUCCCUAUAUGAACUAUAUGGGUUUUUAAAAUGUAUACAAGCUAUUUCAAGCCUAAUGUACAAAUACUUUGAAAGUUAUUGAUGUGUGGAAUACAGGAACUCACAGCCAUCACUGCCACUAAGUAAUAGUAUAAGGGCAUGAAUAUUAUUUGAAUAAAUGUAUAAAUAUUUACUAUAUAUAGAAGUAUGUAUAUCUGUGUAUUAUUAUACAUGUGCAUACAUAUACAUACUCAUACUAUCUUUUAAGACAUGAGUCUUACAAUAGACUUUCAAGAUGCAGAAAAUUGAAGGUUUAUUAUUACUGCUAUUAUUAUUAUCAUUUAUUUUGCUUAAUUUUUAAAGGCUGAAUUCUUUUAUGGUGCUGUAAUAAGUUAGUUUUACUUUUUCAGUUGCAAAGAAUGUGACUAUAUUUCAUCAUUCCUUCCAUUGUGCAUAAACCAAAUGUCACAUUUCAUUUUGUCAGUGUAGUUUGCUUUGUGAAAUCACAAACAAAACAAUAAGUAUGAAAACAUCUUCCUGUUAUACUUAAAAAGUGAGAUCAUAUGCAUGAAAUGAAUACUGAAAUGCUGUAAGAAGUACACAUAGGAAAUCUCAGACUAUAAACGUUUUCUAUUACCAUUUUGAACACUUGUUAGAUACAGUCUUCAUGAGGAAUUUACGCAUCUGCAAAAUGCAUGAUGAAAAUCAAUGGCUUAGACAGUAUUUAGGACUGCAGAAAGGCAGUAUAGCACCUGAAAGACAGCACAAAGGAAUUUCAGCUAAUAAAUGUGCUUUUUUUGGGAACUCAAUUUAAAUGGCUCUCUGCAAAUGCAUGCAGCAUGGGGAAUAUACAGGAGGAGUUGGGAGAUAGGUGCAUGCCUGCAUGGCUAUGAUAUUAUUGGCAUCACAGGGACACAGCAGAAUGACUCCUAUAACUGAAGUGUUGCAAUGGAAGGAUAAAGGCUUUUUAGGAAGGGCAGACAAGGCAGAUGAGGAGGCAGUAUUUGCACUCUAUGCCAGUGUCCAGCUGGAAUGCAUGGAGCUUUGCCUGGUGAUGGAUGAGGAGUCAACUAAGAGCUUAUGAGUCAGGAUUAAAGAAAGGGCAGGGACAGGUGCAAUUUCAGUGAGUCUGGUACAGGCUCUUCCACGAGGGAGUCCAAGUGGUUGAGGCCCUCUGUUGAGAGAAGGGAGGAGCCUCACAUUCACAAAUCCUAGACUUAAUAGAGGACUUCAAAUAUUCUGAGUUUGUGUAGCCAGAUUUUAGGAUCUGAGGGGCUACAGAGACAUCAGAUGAAAGACUUCAAUAAGGAUUAUUUACUACUCAGUAUAAAACUAAAGAACUACUAGUAGAUACAGCAUAACAUAAACCAGUGCACUAUAUCAAGGGACUGAUAUUAAAGCUAGAGAUAGAAAUAGUGUUGAUUAGGAGUCGAAUGUGAUUUACCACUGAAAUGACAAUAAUGUGCACAAAUUCCUUCAGUUAAUCCCUGGGGAGUAAUGAUGAAGCAUCACGGGAGUAACUCCAUCCAGUUCCAGGAAAAUGUACAGGUUUCUGCUUUGUGAAAGUUUGGUAUUGCUUUUAUAGUCAUAAAAGGAGGUAUCAAAAGGUCAGUCAAAAAUCUGCCUUAUUAUCCCAGCUCUCACUUAAACAUUAAGAUAUACAUUGGCAGCUGGGCGAUGCCAGACCAGCGUCAACCCCAUGGCACCAAAAUUACUCACUACAAGACAGUUUGUCCUGCUUGAGUUACCUGACUGGUUAACAACAGAUGAAUCCUUGUGGGGGGUGAGAUGCUCUGCUACAGACUUGUGCAACUGCAUCUGAAUUACUGUAUCUAAGUUUUGCAUUCUCUGCUAAAAGAAGGACAUUGCCUUACAGAGGCAAGCCUAGCAAAGGGCCAUGAAAAUAGAGAACAUGAUAUACAGAGACACUGAAGUAAUGUUCAUCCUGUUCACUCUGAAGAGAAGGCUUUGAGAAUUUAUUGGAGUGUACUGCUACCUCCUGGAAGGAUACAGAGAAGACAGAAUGAGGUUUUUCUUACAGGUCAAAAUUCUCUCAGGGCAAGAGGUAAUGGAUAUGAAUCAGAAUGUAGGAAAAUGCAACAUUAAGGUGAGAAAAACAAAACAAAAGCAACAGCACUAUGCAAGUGGUUAACUACUGGAACAUAUUUUCUGGAAAACUUGUGGUAUCCCCAUUAUGGAAUCACAGUUUCUUACUGAAAGGACAGUUCACUUAGCUACCUGAUCUAGCUGGGACUAUGAGUGAGUGAGUAUUAGACUAGCUGGCCUCAAGACAUCAUUUCCAACUCAAGUUUGCCUGUGAUUCUAUUACUAAAUAAGGAAUCUUUGCCCAGAUUUACUUUAUAAAUGUAAUACUUUAAGGUGAAUUUGAAUUGAACUAACUGUACCUAUACAAAGUCUUUAAGGCUGUAAACCUUAUGACCAGAUCAAAAAAAAAAAAAAAAAAA